rnacentral:rRNA from 1 species
ACGCUAGCUACAGGCUUAACACAUGCAAGUCGAGGGGCAGCGGGAUUGAAGCUUGCUUCAAUUGCCGGCGACCGGCGCACGGGUGAGUAACGCGUAUCCAACCUUCCGUACACUCAGGGAUAGCCUUUCGAAAGAAAGAUUAAUACCUGAUGGUAUGAUGAGAUUGCAUGAUAGCAUCAUUAAAGAUUUAUCGGUGUACGAUGGGGAUGCGUUCCAUUAGGUAGUAGGCGGGGUAACGGCCCACCUAGCCAACGAUGGAUAGGGGUUCUGAGAGGAAGGUCCCCCACAUUGGAACUGAGACACGGUCCAAACUCCUACGGGAGGCAGCAGUGAGGAAUAUUGGUCAAUGGACGAGAGUCUGAACCAGCCAAGUAGCGUGAAGGAUGAAGGUCCUACGGAUUGUAAACUUCUUUUAUAAGGGAAUAAACCCUCCCACGUGUGGGAGCUUGUAUGUACCUUAUGAAUAAGCAUCGGCUAACUCCGUGCCAGCAGCCGCGGUAAUACGGAGGAUGCGAGCGUUAUCCGGAUUUAUUGGGUUUAAAGGGAGCGCAGACGGGUCGUUAAGUCAGCUGUGAAAGUUUGGGGCUCAACCUUAAAAUUGCAGUUGAUACUGGCGUCCUUGAGUGCGGUUGAGGUGUGCGGAAUUCGUGGUGUAGCGGUGAAAUGCUUAGAUAUCACGAAGAACUCCGAUUGCGAAGGCAGCACACUAAUCCGUAACUGACGUUCAUGCUCGAAAGUGUGGGUAUCAAACAGGAUUAGAUACCCUGGUAGUCCACACGGUAAACGAUGGAUACUCGCUGUUGGCGAUAUACUGUCAGCGGCUUAGCGAAAGCGUUAAGUAUCCCACCUGGGGAGUACGCCGGCAACGGUGAAACUCAAAGGAAUUGACGGAAUAGCUAAUUCUGCAGAU